rnacentral:rRNA from 1 species
GCACAAGCGGUGGAUGAUGUGGAUUAAUUCGAUGCAACGCGAAAACCUUACUACCCUUGACAUGUCCGGAAUCCCGAAGAGAUUUGGGAGUGCUCGCAAGAGAACCGGAACACAGGUGCUGCAUGGCUGUCGUCAGCUCGUGUCGUGAGAUGUUGGGUUAAGUCCCGCAACGAGCGCAACCCUUGUCAUUAGUUGCCAUCAUUUGGUUGGGCACUCUAAUGAGACUGCCGGCGACAAACCGGGAGGAAGGUGGGGAUGACGUCAAGUCCUCAUGGCCCUUAUGGGUAGGGCUUCACACGUCAUACAAUGGUCGGUACAGAGGGUUGCCAACCCGCGAGGGGGAGCUAAUCCCACAAAGCCGAUCGUAGUCCGGAUCGCAGUCUGCAACUCGACUGCGUGAAGUCGGAAUCGCUAGUAAUCGUGGAUCAGCAUGUCACGGUGAAUACGUUCCCGGGUCUU